UGAAACUAUUCUUGAUGACUGCAGUGGCC
rnacentral:piRNA from 1 species